CGUGUAGGCGGAUGGGGACGUCGGUUGUUGAAAGCCCCCGGCUCAACCGGGGAAUGGGCACCGAAACGCCCCGUCUCGAGGGACGUAGGGGGACCUGGAACUUCCGGUGGAGCGGUGAAAUGCGUUGAGAUCGGAAGGAACGCCCGUGGCGAAAGCGAGGUCCUGGACGUCUACUGACGCUGAGACGCGAAAGCUAGGGUAGCGAAC
rnacentral:rRNA from 1 species